rnacentral:snRNA from 1 species
UAUCCGUGGGUUCACUGCAUCACGCACAAAUCUUUCGCCUUUUACUAAAGAUUUCCGUGCAGAGACCAAUAAGAUCGGAAUUUAGCAAUUUAUUUCUGCCUUGUCGUUUGAUAAGGC